GACGAACGCUGGCGGCGUGCUUAACACAUGCAAGUCGAACGAGUGGCGAACGGGUGAGUAAUACGUGAGUAACCUGCCCUCUUUCUGGGAUAAGCCUUGGAAACGGGGUCUAAUACCGGAUACAGGCGGAUGGGCUCGGGGCCUAGCAGUUUGUUGGUGGGGUGAUGUCCUACCAAGGCGGUGACGGGUAGCCGGGCUGACAGGGUGACCGGCAACAGUGGGACGGAGAUGAGGCCCAGACUCCGAAGGGGGGGAGAAGUGGGGGAGAUGGGACAAUGUGCGAAAGAGUGAUGCAGCGAGGCCGCGUGGGGGAUGAAGGUUGUAAGGUUGUAUAACUAUGGAACUAUAGAACGGGUAGGUGGAGAAGAAGCACCGGCUAACUACGUGCCAGCCGCAGCGGUAAUAC
rnacentral:rRNA from 1 species